rnacentral:rRNA from 1 species
AUUGAACGCUGGCGGCAGGCCUAACACAUGCAAGUCGAGCGGGCGGCGGACGGGUGGGUAAGGUAUGGAGAUCUGCCCGAUCGAGGGGGAUAACGACUGGAAACGUUGGCUAAUACCGCAAACGAUCGGAUGAGCCCUUAUGGGAUUAGCUAGUAGGUGUGGUAAAGGCGCACCUAGGCGACGAUGUCUAGCUGGUCUGCGAGGAUGAUCAGCCACACUGGGACUGAGACACGGCCCAGACUCCUACGGGAGGCAGCAGUGGGGAAUAUUCCACAAUGGGCGCAAGCCUGACGCAGCCAUGCCGCGUGUAUGAAGAAGGCUUUAGGGUUGUAAAGUACUUUUAUCGGGGAGGCGUUAUCUGCAGAAGAAGCAACGGCUAACUACGUGCCAGCAGCCGCGGUAAUAC